GACGCUAAACAGGGAAGUGCUGGAGUCUGAGCGUGUACAUUUGUUUACAGCAACCAGUUCACCGUCUGCACCUCGCCGUGUCUGCUUUAUGCGAAUGAAAAUCUUCAGUUGUCGGCAAAAUAUUUCGAGCAUAUAGCGCGUGUUAUCGAUACAGUCCAUUCCCGCGCGUCGUCACGUUUAGGCUGUGCAGUAAUGGGAAUAGCACCCGCUAACAAGACAUGCUAAAGUCACGCUUUAUUAGCUUGCUAAAUUCCAGAGUACCCUUCACGUUACACCGUCAUGUAAUCGCCUGUGACAAAGUAAUUGUUUCGCCUCACUAUUACAAAGUGUAAAGCUAAUCACCAGGUUGGUUUGCAGACACAAUCCUCGCCUCUUUCACCGGGUUAACGUUUACGUUUACUAGUUAGCCAGCCGGUAGGGCAGCUAACAUGGGAGUUACACAAGACAGGGUGACCUCUCACAUCAUGUCUCUCAAAAGAUAAGGUAUGAAUCCAUCCAGUGUAUAAAGAGCGUGAUUUUAUUAUUCAGUCAGCUAUCAGUUUUUACAGCCCAUGAUUUAGAUAGCAUUUAUAGCAGCUGACACAGUAUGACUGUGUGUGCCUGCACCCAUCCUCCUCCACCUGCUGUGAGAGAAUGACCAAAGACCCAGUGCAUCAUGGCAUUGUCUGAAGUUUAUUGGGAUCACCAAAUACCCCUGCCAAAGCUUGCUCCUGUCCAGGCCAAGGUCACAGUUGCCCUGGUGGCACUCCUGUGCUUCAUUAACAGCUAUGACGGGGAGUUUGUGUUUGACGAUUCGGAGGCAAUCGUCAACAACAAGGACUUGAAACCAACAACGCCACUGAACAACAUCUGGACCAAUGACUUCUGGGGAAGCAACUUGAGUAGCAACUCUAGUCACAAAUCCUACCGACCUCUCACUGUCCUUACAUUUAGGCUGAACUACCUCUUGGCAGGGGGCCUGCACCCUGUUGGCUUCCAUGUGCUGAACAUCAUCCUCCAUGCCGUCAUAUCUGCCCUCAUGAUCGAUGUGUUUGCUAUACUGAUUGGUGGACUGGCUUAUGAUGAGAAGGAUAGGAUCCUGAACAACGCCCCCAAGACGUCUCUACUUGCUGCCCUCCUCUUUGCUGCACACCCAGUCCACACAGAAAGCGUGGCUGGUAUAGUGGGCCGAGCAGACCUUUUAUGUGCUCUGUUCUUCCAGCUCUCUUUCCUCACCUACUGCAAAGCUUUCAACAGGGGGAGUGACAGAGAUGACAGGUUUUCUGUCCAGUGGGUUGCGGUCAGCCUCUUGCUGUGUGCUGCAGCAAUGCUCUGUAAAGAACAAGGCAUCACAGUCUUGGGUGUGAAUGCAGCCUUUGAUGUCCUCCUGAUCUGUAAUGUUAAUGUGUAUGAACUCAGCCAGAGGCUACUUCUUAGGAAGAAUCCACUCAAUGUAAGUGAUAUGUUACGAACGGGACUGCUAACACGAUUGGGUCUCAUGGGUCUUGGAGGACUCUCAAUGCUCUAUGCACGCUGGAGGAUCAUGGGAACAGGACCACCAGCAUUCACUGAAGUGGACAACCCUGCCUCUUUUGCAGAAAAUAUAUUUCUUAGAAUAGUGAACUAUAAUUACUACUACUCUCUGAAUGCCUGGCUGCUGCUGUGUCCCUGGUGGCUGUGUUUUGAUUGGUCCAUGGGCUGUGUGCCUCUCAUUAAGACAGCCACUGAUUGGAGGAUGGUGUGGCUGCUGCUGCUCUGGUGCGUCCUGAUAGGCUUGAUAAGCCAAGCCUUAUGCUCGCAGGACAGCCAGAGAAGGAGGACACUGACCUUGGGUCUGGUGCUGCUGGUGGUUCCUUUUCUGCCAGCCUGUAACAUUUUUUUCAGGGUGGGCUUCGUCAUUGCUGAGAGAGUGCUCUACCUGUCUUCAGCUGGCUACUGCCUACUGCUGGCCUACUCUCUGGGACAUUGCUGCUUUCGCUGGACCAAAUACAGGAAGCUGCUGUGUGUGUCGGUGCUCGCACUGUUGUGUGUGUAUGUAGCUCGCUGUGCUCUCCGCAGUCACCAGUGGCGGUCAGAGCAAAGUCUCUUCACCAGUGCCCUGUCUGUCUGUCCGCUCAAUGCCAAGGUCCAUUACAAUGUCGGUAAGAACCUGGCUGACAAAGGAAACACCACUGCUGCUAUCAGAUAUUACAGAGAAGCAGUCAGGCUACAUCCUACCUACGUCCAUGCCAUGAACAACCUGGGGAAUAUCCUGAAGGAGAGGAAUGAACUGAUCGAGGCAGAGCAGCUUUUGUCCAAAGCCGUUUCUAUUCAGCCUGACUUUGCUGCAGCUUGGAUGAAUCUGGGAAUUGUUCAGAACAGCCUGCAGAAAUUUGAGGAAGCAGAGCAGAGCUACUGGAACGCCAUCCGCUUCCGGAAAAAAUACCCAGACUGCUACUAUAAUCUGGGACGCUUGUAUGCUGACCAGAACAGACACGUUGAUGCCCUGAACGCAUGGAGAAACGCAACCGUCCUGAAACCUGAUCACAGCCUGGCUUGGAACAACAUGGUCAUUCUGCUGGACAACACUGGUAACUUGGGUCAAGCAGAGUUGAUCGGCCGAGAGGCUCUGAAGCUCCUCCCCAACGACCACACUAUCAUGUUUUCAUUGGCCAACGUCCUGGGGAAAUUACAGAAGUACAAGGAAUCAGAGGGCUUCUUCCUUCACGCUCUUCGAAUCAACCCAAAUGCUGCUAGUUGCCAUGGCAAUUUAGCUGUGCUGUAUCAUCGCUGGGGUAAGCUGGAGCUGGCAAAGAAACACUAUGAGCUGUCUCUUAAGUUGGACCCCGAGGCUCCCGGGACCAGAGACAACUACAACAUGCUGCGACGCAAACUGGACCAGCUUAAACGCAGCACGCCCUGAGGGAGCCUACUGGAACCCCUGCCCACCGUGAUAGUGGCAGUGCACAAAAUGUGAAAACACUGCACAAGAUUUGUGAGAGAGAGAGAGUACAACCUGAUCUUCAGGCACCCGCUCUUCAUCCAUCACUGCCACCAGAGUCACUGCUUCCUCCUGGGUUGCCUCUAACUCAUCCUGGAAAGACCCUGAUUACAGAUUCUCUGACAACAGGUUGUAACAGGAAAAACAACUGGUCAAGAUGCUCAAUGAUUUCCUGUGUUGCUCCCUGUGAUACAUGGAGAAUCAUUUUUCAAGAAGAAGGCAGCAAGAUUAUACUGAAACUGCUCAUCUACUCCCUCAGCUUUGUCAGUUUCAUCAGAAACCUCUGCUGGAUAAUGUUCAUUGUCACUUAUAGAUUUACAUUCGACAGAUCUUGCACUACAAUUGUUAUUAUACCAUGCAUCUGUGUGCAUUAUAUGGCGAGUAAACAUUUAUUUUUACUCAGUCUUAAAUGCCCCCUCAGAUGAACAAAACUGUCCCUUUCAUGAAAUGGUUGCUUAAACACUGAUAAACAGUCCAAAAUGUGCUAAAUGUACACAUGCAGUUGUUGGAAUACUGGUCAGCUGCAGUCUGCAAUGUCUCAAUAACUGCACUAGAUAAGCCACACAACUUACAUUUCCCAUGAUUUGUUUCUCUCUGAUAAUUAAAGCAAUAAUAAAUGUAGUUUGA